rnacentral:tRNA from 1 species
GGGGUUGUGGCUCAGUGGUAGAGUGCUUGCCUAGCAUGCAUGAGGCACUGGGUUCAAUCCCCAGCACCACA